CCCUUAGAUGUCCUGGGCCGCACGCGCGUUACACUGAUGCAUUCAACGAGCUUAUAACCUUGGCCGAGAGGCCUGGGCAAUCUUGUUAACGUGCAUCGUGAUAGGGAUAGAUUAUUGAAAUUAUUAAUCUAGAACGAGGAAUUCCUAGUAAACGCAGAUCAUCAAUCUGCAUUGAUUACGUCCCUGCCCUUUGUACACACCGCCCGUCGCACCUACCGAUUGGAUGGUCCGGUGAAGCCUCGGGAUUGUGGUUCUUGCCGCUUUAUUGUGGCGUGACCGCGAGAACUUGUCUAAACCUUAUCAUCUAGAGGAAGGUGAAGUCGUAACA
rnacentral:rRNA from 1 species